rnacentral:lncRNA from 1 species
CGUACACGAAGCGUUCAAGCGAGUGAACCGAUGCAAUCACAAUAUCACAGGCAAUUCCAUUCGAAACUCGAGAGGCUCGUGCUCUCCUUAUUCGGCGUAUUCUUGACAUCAUCGAGACAACACAUAGAUACUAUCGCUAUGACUCAUUCCCAUCUGGACGCGAUGACAGAGAAAACCAGAGACAUUUCUCUUCUGAGGGGUGUGUCUCUUUUUCUCUCUCUCAUCCCUCUAUCAUCGUUCCAUUCUUUCGAGUGCCGUCUUCGACAUUGAUUUCGAUUUACAAGAAAACAGAACACAGUCUUUUGCUCGAUAAACUCUGUCCAAUAACAUUCGAUAGAAAACGGCGUGAAAAGUAAGAAACGUGAAACUAGGUCUAAGACAACGUAUUGCCUUCUUGCGGUCUGCUCGUCUCCAUCGGAAGGAUUCGCCGGAAGACACUCACCGGACCUGACGAUCAACGGAGGAUACCUCUGGUCGAAAUUCUAAUAUUAGCGCAGCGCAUUCUCCAGUCGAUACUCUAGACUCUAGACAUCCACCACUACCACUGAUCUCCUCGCGAUGGCACGCGACACCAUAUCUGUAAGCGUGUGUACGUGUGAACGCACUACCACGAGCACGCGACGACAGAACACGAUGAUGCAAAAUCUAAGCGGCUCACCUUUCGAAAGAUACGCGAUUCUGACAAUCUGUUGGAAACGUUUACGGCUAGAGCACGUUCGGUAUGGAAUGAACCGUUUCUAGGUCGUAAAGGAUGAUCAACGAUGCCGCUGUCGUAACGUCGAACCGCGCACACGCCGCACGGGCAUUAUGCUACAAAGAUCACCAACUAUGGAAGUGGUGGGACACGAUUCCAUGGCACCGAAUGGUGCGACGGCGUGGCGCUAUCUGGAGUGACGUAUGAAUACUCGUUAAUCGAAUUGCUCAAUUGCUGAGUAGGUAAAAAGAGAGUAAGUUAUCGAUAGAUUGAAUUAAUAAACGAUUUCGCGUAGUGACGCACCCUUUGAAUUACUUUGAACAUUAUGCUCAAGAUUUUUUUUCGACUCGUUCAAAAUGUAUUAAGACUCGAGGUUUACAACUGGUCGAGACUUUCAAUAAUUUGAAGUCUCGAAUCAUGUUCGAAAUGAUUGAAAUUUUCAAAGAAUUUAAAAAAUUUCGAGUCACUCCAAAAUGAAGAAUCAAACCGUUAUCAGACACGUGACUGUCAAACGAAACGGAGAAAGAAAAAUGAUACAGAGACUGAAUAAUAUAAAAUAUCUUUGUUUUUGUGGCAUAUUACUAAAAGCUGGAAGUACUUCCUUAGAGUUGCAAUUUCUGUUUGAACGUGUGUACCUUAUGAUGUAUGAAUGGUAACCAUAUUUUUAAUCUUAACUGUAUUUUAAUCGGCACUUUCUCCUGGGUAGAAAUAACUACGUAUUAAGUCUGAUUUGAAUGCGAACGAAAUCUUUGUGUAUACUGAAUAAAAUUGGGAAAUAGGGAAAUAUCAAAAGUUCCAUAUUGGCAGAAUUGAAACAUGGGGAAGCUACAUAAAUAAAAUCCUAAUAUACAUUACAAUAAGUAUAGCGAAAUCCAUGUUUCCUUAGGUAAAAAUAUAACCAGAGGUACAAUACAUUUUUAUAAUAAUCUAAAGAACCGGUUUCAUCUUUGUAGUACUGAUCGUGUGAAUAAACCAGUUUGUUUCAUGUACAAGAAAGAACAUACUAUAAGAAUGUCAAGGUGCGUCUCAACUGGUAUUCGUAAACAAUUCGCAAAUAGUAUACGAUUUGUUCUGUUGUCUAGAAGUUGUCUAUCUCGUACUAUUACUGUUCCUGAUCUAUUCGCAGAAGUACACAUUUCCGAUGAUUCAUAAUGUAUAAACAUAAGUUAAUAAUCUUUACAUAUUUAUAAUUUUCUAUAAAUUUUAGUUAAUCUUAUUGUUUAAAAUUUUUUAUCUUUAAUGACUAGCGAUUGCGCAACCAAAGAAUUGGUAUAAAUUAAUUGUAAUAAAGUAUUUAAAUAAAUUUUCAGGAACUAUUCGUGAAUGUGUUGCGAAAAGUGUUCACUAACGGU